GACAGAGGUGGCGAGCGUUGUUCGGAUUUAUUGGGCGUAAAGCGAACGCAGGUGGUUUGGUAAGUCAGAUGUGAAAUCCCCGGGCUCAACCUGGGAACUGCAUUUGAGACUGCAAAGCUAGAGUGUGGCAGAGGGGGGUGGAAUUCCACGUGUAGCAGUGAAAUGCGUAGAGAUGUGGAGGAACACCGAUGGCGAAGGCAGCCCCCUGGGCCAAUACUGACGCUCAUGCACGAAAGCGUGGGGAGCAAACAGGAUUAGAAACCCUGUAGU
rnacentral:rRNA from 1 species